UAUAUAUUUUUUGUAUCACAUUUGAUACAUUGGAUGUUUUCUGGCAACUUUUUGUUAACAACAAUGUUAAUUUUAGACAAAAAAAGAGUUUUGCCCAUAACAUUUUGAAAUUAUGGCAAGUUUUGAUCAUGUUGAUGAGAUAGAGGUCUCAGAAACUCAUGUAUCAAAUACGAUACAAAGGGCAUUAUAUGGUUAAAAUUACCAAUGCGAAAUAUAUCCAAAGGAAAGCUUAAUUAUUAUUAAUUUGCAACUUUGCAGUUAUCUGACAAUUUAUGAAAGCUUGACACCGACCCUACUUCUGCUUUAAGAUCCCAAUGAUUUUCCAAUCACACCUGUGUAAAGGUGUGAUAAUAUGCUCUUUUUCAUUCUCAAACACAUUUGUUUAAAGGUGAAGAUCCAUGCCACGGUAAAUCAGAGAGAAUUCCUUUCAGAAACAGUGCCAUAACAUUCAGCUUAAUGUUAAAAAACAAUAACCUACACAGGACAUUUCAAAAGAUUUUCUGCAAUAAACAAGCACAAUAGAAGAGAUAGAAUAGAGUUGUAAUGAAGUUACACUAGACAAGCACAGUGAUUUACUGUGGUGUCCUAACGGUCCUGCUAAGCAGGUCAACGUGUCACACAGCCGUCAGGGCCAGAUCUAAGAAAGAAACGGCUCCUUCUCCUCCCUCUGUGUGUGUGUGUGUGUGUGUGUGUGUGUGUGUGUGUGUGUGUGUGUGUGUAUGUAUGUGUGUGUGUGUGUGUGUGUGUGUGUGUGUGUGUGAGACUGGGAGAUUUUAUUAAAGGCAAAAACAAUAAGGACAUUUUAAUUAGUGAUUAUUUUUAAAAGUAGACCUAAUCAUACCAUUUUUCUUGCCUUCAGGGAUCCAGACCUCACUUCACAGACUCCUUGCAGCUUAGUGGGAGAGCGUUAAUUUUAGCAGCUCAUGAAAUCGAAGACAAGUGCCCUUCUAGCUGAGAACUCCUCCCAAAUUUCUCAAAAUCCCCAUCACGCAUAUAUGAGUUUGAUGCCUGGGAAAAAUACUCCUCAUUACUUCGUCCAGUCUUACACCAUCAGCUAUACACUUCUUCUAAUACUGGAUGUGUGGGAGGCAUGCCGAUGUGAACAUGUAAUAUUACAUGAAAUAUAAUUAACUAACUACACCACCACUACCAACUCUACGGUGUUAAUUAUUCAUUUGAUGCAGAAGAGCCUGGUAUCAAAAUGUAGACCUUCCUUAUGCUUGUUUUGAUCAGCGAGUUAAUGAUCGUGAUGCUCCGGGUUGGCGUUAAAAAAAAUCAUGCUGAACAAAAAUGUGAAUUUUGGCUUUAGAUUGUGAUGCUUGAGUGGAAAUUGAUUUGAAUGCAGGUUUUAUCUUUAUUAUGAAGAUUUCAAAAUGUUGGGGGGGAAAAGUGAUUUUCUUUUUUUUCAUGUAACAUUUACAAACACAUAGUUGUGUUCAGUGAAAUACUGCUGUUGGAGUUGAUUUCCAGUUUUUUAAUUUAUUUUGUGUUACAAAAUGUGUUGACUAAAUGCAUACUUAUAAAACUACAAAACAAAACUAGGAAAACUAAACUAUGUUUUCUUUACUUCUGUAAAGUGUGACAUUGUCAGCAGUGCAUGUAGUUGUUUAGUCCAGUAGCCAUGAAAAUUUAAAAAAAAGAAAGAAAAGGAAAAACACUGCGUAAAUCAGCACACCGUCCUAACAUUUUUGUUUGUUGUUGCUGUUGUUUUUCCUUCCGAAUGAAAAACAAACAAAUGUUAAAUCUUCACUUGUCGUCAGCGUCGCCAUCAAAGCGCAAACGAGGAAACCAUGAGACCUCAAUCUGAUGGGACAAGUUGGGACACGCACAACGGCCUGCCAAACCCGGAUGUGGAUUCCAGAUGGAGCUCUGAGGGAAACCCACAGAUACACACAGCAGUUUUACAACUCCUGUUAACAGUUACAGCAAAGUGAUUGUCGUCUGGCUUAUGAGAGGUUUCCCUCUUUCUGUCUUUAUUUUCAGUGGAGGGGAGACGCAACAGCUUGAGAUUCCUGAAGGUCACGUAGACCUUCAAAGAAAGCAGUUGUCACCAAACAGAUGAUGAAAUCAUCCGUACAUCAGCAUAGUUAGGGGAAACUGAGUCACGUCAAGCAUAUGGCAGGCAAAGCUGAAGAGCUAUCACACUUUCACUUUUAUGCACUUGCACAAACAAGUUUUAACACACUUUUUGCCAAUAAAGCAAAAUGUGACAAAUGGCUAUGUAAGUGAACAUAGUGAAUCAAAGACUUGCUUCUACCAGAUUAUCAAUCUGUGCUGCUAAAAUAUAUUUUCAUGUUCACAUGUGGUUCACAGAGAAUCCUUAGAGCCAGAAGGGCCUGGUUUGUAUUCAGUUAGGGGCCUAAUUGUGUGGAGUUUAAGUGUUCUCCCCCUGUUUGUAUUAGUUUUCUCCGGGUACUUCAGCUUCCUGCACCUUUCAAAGACAUGCAUGGGGGUAGGUUAAUUAGUGGUUCUAAACUGACUGUAAUGGGAGUGUGGAUGGUUUUCUGUCUAUCUGUGUUAGUUUUGUGACAGACCUGUCCUGGGUGUAUCCUGCUUCUUGCCCUGAGACAGCUGAUAAAGGCAUCAGCCCCUGUGUGAACUAAGCAGCAGAAAAUGGAUGGACUGACAUCACAUUGCACCCUUUUCCUGUUCUCUGAUGCAAACAGAGUUGGACGAUACUGGAUGGAAAUAUACAUUACUUUGCAAAAAACUCAAACAUUUGUGGUACAUUUGUACAGAAACUCGACUUUAUGACAGCAGGCUUUUUAUCCUGCCCUAACCUUCAUUUUUUUUAAUUUGGUCUUAUAAAUUUCUAUUUAACUGACUGGAGUCCGGCAUUUACAAUUGGUAAUGCUCAUUUCUAUGAUCCCACACUGUCACGGCUGGGGCGGCAGUCGUGUGGAGGUGAGAAAGGAGGAUCCAAAUGCAGACAGCGGCGGAGGCGGACGUGGGUUUUAUUUAAGUGCACAAUAACCAAGGUGUGGGCAGAACUGAACAUAAACUUAAACUGGGAAAACUAAUACAAAAGAAGGACAUGGAGCGAGGAGCAGAGAGACACGGAGAAACACGGAAUAACAUUAAAUACACGGAAGAUUCACAGGGAAACACAGACAACACGACGAGGAGCACAGGCAGACACACAGUAUAAAUACACACAUCAGGUAAUCAGGAAAUGGCACACAGGAGGGGACACAGCU
ensembl:lncRNA